GAUGAACGCUGGCGGCGUGCCUAAUACAUGCAAGUCGAGCGAACGGACGAGAAGCUUGCUUCUCUGAUGUUAGCGGCGGACGGGUGAGUAACACGUGGAUAACCUACCUAUAAGUCUGGGAUAACUUCGGGAAACCGGAGCUAAUACCGGAUAAUAUUUUGAACCGCAUGGUUCAAUAGUGAAAGACGGUCUUUCUGUCACUUAUAGAUGGAUCCGCGCUGCAUUAGCUAGUUGGUAAGGUAACGGCUUACCAAGGCAACGAUGCAUAGCCGACCUGAGGGGGUGAUCGGCCACACUGGAACUGGGACACGGUCAAGACGCCUGAGAGAGGCAGCAGUAGGGAAUCUUACGCAGUGGGCGAAAGCAUGACGGAGCAAGGCCGAGUGAGUGAUGAAGAUCUUCGGAUCGUAAAACUCUGUUAUUAGGGAAGAACAUAUGUGUAAGUAACUGUACACAGCUUGACGGUACCUAAUCAGAAAGCCACGGCUAACUACGUG
rnacentral:rRNA from 1 species